UACGUAGGGUGCGAGCGUUACUCGGAAUUACUGGGCGUAAAGCGUGCGCAGGCGGUUUUGUAAGUCAGAUGUGAAAUCCCCGGGCUUAACCUGGGAAUGGCAUUUGGGACUGCAAGGCUCGAGUGCGGCAGAGGAGACUGGAAUUCCUGGUGUAGCAGUGAAAUGCGUAGAUAUCAGGAGGAACACCGGUGGCGAAGGCGGGUCUCUGGGCCGAUACUGACGCUGAGGAGCGAAAGCGUGGGGAGCGAACAGG
rnacentral:rRNA from 1 species